AGGCAGCUAGCAGACAGUUGGAUCAGUCUGUUUGUCUGCUGCCUGACCUUGGCCCUGGUUCGUCAGCGACUGACUGUCCCACGCCGACGGCUGUCUGAGAGACUACGAGGUGAGUCAUUCACAAAUUGAAGGCAUCGCGCUCGUGUAGUCACUCCACUCACUGUGACGUCAAGCGAAACGCUAGAAUAUAUCCAGCUCCUCUUUUCUGCAACCUGGAAACUGAUUUCUUACCGUCCAGAGACAUGCACAUGCAGAGAAGAUGGCCAGUUUGGAGGAAACCAGCUAUUCUUUAAAUCCUGCGUUUCAUUUGUGGUUAUACUACAAUCUUAGUAUUUUGUGUAUUUUAUAUUUUAUUCAUAAAGAAUAAAAUCAAUAACAUGCAGUAGAAUGCCAAGGCACAAAUGUAAAUAGGCUUGCCCUGUAGUAACUGCAAUUUGCUACCAGCAGUAUUAGGGGCAUGCUUUCAAGAAAACAUUGUGAUAAGUUUAGAUUUGAUGAUGUUGAA